rnacentral:rRNA from 1 species
UACAGGGGGGCAAGCGUUGUUCGGAAUUACUGGCGUAAAGGGCUCGAGUAGGUGGCCAACUAAGUCAGACGUGAAAUCCCUCAGCUUAACUGGGAACUGCGUCUGAUACUGGAUGGCUUGAGUUUGGGAGAGGGAUGCGGGAAUUCCAGGUGUAGCGGUGAAAUGCGUAGAUAUCUGGAGGAACACCGGUGGCGAAGGCGGCAUCCUGGACCAACACUGACACUGAGGAGCGAAAGCCAGGGGAGCAAACGGGAGUUA